rnacentral:rRNA from 1 species
GACGGGGGAUGCAAGUGUUAUCCGGAAUAAUUGGGCGUAAAGCGUCUGUAGGUGGUUUACCAAGUCUGUUGUUAAAAAUCAGGGCUUAACCCUGAUCCGGCAACAGAAACUAGUAGGCUGGAGUACGGUAGGGGCAGAGGGAAUUUCCGGUGGAGCGGUGAAAUGCGUAGAGAUCGGAAAGAACACCAACGGCGAAAGCAACUCUGCUGGGCCGACACUGACACUGAGAGACGAAAGCUAGGGGAGCGAAUGGG